AUUGAACGCUGGCGGCAUGCCUUACACAUGCAAGUCGAACGGCAGCACGGGAGCAAUCCUGGUGGCGAGUGGCGAACGGGUGAGUAAAGCAUCGGAACGUACCUGGUAGUGGGGGAUAGCCCGGCGAAAGCCGGAUUAAUACCGCAUACGACCUGAGGGGGAAAGCGGGGGAUCGUAAGACCUCGCGCUAUUGGAGCGGCCGAUGUCAGAUUAGGUAGUUGGUGGGGUAAAGGCCUACCAAGCCUGCGAUCUGUAGCUGGUCUGAGAGGACGACCAGCCACACUGGGACUGAGACACGGCCCAGACUCCUACGGGAGGCAGCAGUGGGGAAUUUUGGACAAUGGGCGCAAGCCUGAUCCAGCCAUGCCGCGUGCGGGAAGAAGGCCUUCGGGUUGUAAACCGCUUUUGUCAGGGAAGAAAUGCUCUGGGCUAAUACCCUGGGGUGAUGACGGUACCUGAAGAAUAAGCACCGGCUAACUACGUGCCAGCCGCCGCAGUAAGAC
rnacentral:rRNA from 1 species